AAUUGUGUUUUUAAUUCACAUCUAUGUUGCCUGGUUCUGCCAAAAUUUUUUGUAAAUUCUCCAAGGUGAAUAUCCUAUGCCAUGAAACUGAGCUCCCCUCUGUCCUAAGGGGAUCUGAAAGCUUCACCGGCAUAAUGAACAUUUCCAAGUUCCUCUUCAAUCCGCAGAAGCUGAUUAUACUUGGCCAAUCGCUCACUUCUGCAAGGAGCUCCAGUCUUGAUCUGUCCGCUAGCCAAGCCAACAGAAAGAUCGGCAAUAAAGUUAUCCUCGGUUUCACCACUUCGGUGGCUGACCAUCACACCCCAACCUGCAGCUUUUGAGUCGAGUGCUGCUCUAAUGGACUCGGUCACUGUGCCAAUCUGGUUAACCUUGAGAAGUAAACCAUUGCAAGCCUUUUUCUGAAUUGCUUCAGCAAUUCUCUUUGGGUUUGUGACCAACAAAUCAUCCCCUACAAGUUGGAUAUCAACUGAAGACUGUAGUGAAGCCCAUGAGUUCCAAUCAUCCUGGUCAAAAGGGUCUUCAAUGGACACAAUAGGGAACUCCUUGACAAAGUCCUUGUAGAGCUCACCAAGGCUCUGAGCUGAGAGCACAUGAGCCCCAUCAUUUGGUUGUUUCUUGAAGUUCAAAUCAUAUUUUCCAUCCUUUGUGAGAAAUUCUGAGGCAGCAACAUCCAUUCCAAUUUUGAUCUUCCCUGUGUAACCAGCCUUUUCAAUUGCUUCCAUAAGCAAAACUAGUCCCUCCCUAUUAUCCUGCACAUUAGGAGCAAAUCCCCCUUCGUCUCCAACAUUGCAAGCAUCCUGUCCAUAUUUAGCCUUG
rnacentral:misc_RNA from 1 species